rnacentral:rRNA from 1 species
UACGGAGGGGGCUAGCGUUGUUCGGAAUUACUGGGCGUAAAGCGCACGUAGGCGGCUUUGCAAGUUAGAGGUGAAAGCCCGGGGCUCAACUCCGGAAUUGCCUUUAAAACUGCAUCGCUAGAAUUGUGGAGAGGUAAGUGGAAUUCCGAGUGUAGAGGUGAAAUUCGUAGAUAUUCGGAAGAACAACCAGUGGCGAAGGCGACUUACUGGACACAUAUUGACGCUGAGGUGCGAAAGCGUGGGGAGCAAACAGG